UAUUAGGUUGGUGCAAAAGUAAUUGCAGUUUUUGCCAUUAAAAGCAAUGGCAAAAACCGCAAUUACUUUUGCACCAACCUAACA
rnacentral:pre_miRNA from 1 species